UCGUAGGUGACCUGCGGAGGUCAUUAUUG
rnacentral:rRNA from 1 species